rnacentral:lncRNA from 1 species
AUUCAAAUUCACAGUCAGGGUUUCCUGCAUAAAUUCAACCCUUGAGAAUCAAUCUAAUAGAUUUUUUUGGAGAAUUUGAUCCUUUUCAUGUGGAGGAGUGAUUAGGUUCUAGAGACAGGCCAGUUGCAGGGAGGGGAUUUUCCAGGUCUCCAGGGCUGGGCUGCCUCUUCUCCAGACUGAUCACUUUCUUCAGCUUCUGUGAAAGCUUCCUUCCCUAGGUAUUCUCUCUCUCUCUUUGUGUGUUUCUCUUUCUCUCCCCAUCUUGCCUUCUCUCUUUUUCUUUCUUUCUGCAGGUGUCUUUGCUGAAUACUUCUCUAUUCCACUGAAUUUUUGCAGUCCUUAAUGAUCUGCUCAUGUCCUCCAGUUCCAGGGACCCUUUAACCACAUCCCCUCUGCAGCCUUCCAGAUUGCAGAGGCAGGUCCUUUAACCAUGCCCAAACUGUUCUCUAGUCAUGAGUCAUUGCUUUGGGCCUCUUAGCUACUCCCCAUGUCAGAUCAACAAUAAUAGAUGUAAAGACCCCUAAACAUAGCUCCGAUACCAUGUCCCCUUGGCCCUCCAAUUCUAGGGCCCAGUCCUGCUAAUGAUACCCACACAUCAUCCCUUUAAUAACUGGUCUGAGGCAACCUAGCCAUA